GUAGGUUGUAUUGUCUUGAUAAAUUAAUGCCAAAUGACAAAAGAUAAAAAGGUGGUCAAAAGUAAUGAAAAGUAGAGCAUGCCAUGAAUGAGACUAAAAUAAUAGAUUAAAAUAAUCUUAAAGUUAUAAAGCUGUGAUGUAAAAUAUUAAAGGGAUCCUUUUUUUAAAAGAGAAUAGCACUCCUACGCCUUUUCUUUCGUCUUACCCAUCCCUUGCACGCUCCUCACCUCCCAAAACCCAAAUUUGAAUGACUAUUCCCUAAUUUUCAGAAAAAAUCAUAAAUCCAUGACUUUUUCUUCUUCUCCAUCUCUUUUUCCUUGAAAAUUCGGCACCUCAUCACGGCCGCCUACCAUUAUCGGCAGAAUUUCUGCUCAAGCAAUUGGUCAAAAACAAGGAAAAAGUUUUGGAUUCCUAGACGGAAUCUUUGGACGUCAAAGCCUUAGUUUGCUGCUCAACACAAGGUGGCGACUCUAAAUGAUUUUCAAAAUCAGAGGUAUAACUACUUUAUGUUGCGAACUAUUUCGACUAGUUCAAAAAUGGGGUGCGAGAGCUUGGAGACUCUGCUGGGAAAACCCUUUGUACUUAGCAUUUAGGUUUUAACCUUAGCAAAAAUUAGUUUUAGAAUUAAGGGAUAUUUGUUUAUUAUCUAUCAAUUAUUUGCUUUAAUUGUUUCAUUGUAAUUUAUUUAUUAUAUCACUCUUCAUUUGAAAGGAUGUAAGCUAAAUCCAAACUUGUGUUUCUUAUUUAUUUUGAAAACACUACAUGUUAUUGCUUUUCUUAAACUUUCAUUUGCACUUUCUAUCGAGUCCUUGGCCGUACACAAACACACACUGGACACACGAGGGGUGUCAGACACUCCUCUAAAUUUUCUUGGAUUCCUUAGUUUCAGAGUUGGUGCAAUUAGUUUAGUGCACCUUCUCGCAAUCAUUCAGUCCCACUUUCAAUCAUCUAGGAAAAAAUCCUACUCCAGAAAUAGAACAUUUUGCAUGCACCUUAGGAGGGACAAUAUGAGGUAUUGUCACCGCAUUUAUGAAUCCACCCUCAUGUCAACGGGUUUCUCUUUAAAACACAACGACAUAUAUGUGUGAAAAUAAUUGAUUGAUCCAAGUAUUAAAGUUGUAACAGAUUCUGGACAUUAGGACUGACUACCUUCUUAUCCAUAUGGAAAUCAACCAAAACAUCCCUAACAUUCAAAUGAUGACUGAGGUUCCCAAGAUUUUGAAAGAUUGGUGGAGAAACAUCCGGGUGGCACAUGAAAAUGAAAUUCCACCGCACUUGGGAUCACUAAUGAAUUUGGUGAAUAUAAUGGCAAACAAGUUGCUCAUUACGCUAAUGAUUGAAUUUUGGCAACCAACAACAACAACCUUCCAAUACACGGAUUUUGAAAUCACGCCCACGCUUAAGGAAAUAAGUCAAAUUGCUGAUGCCACUGGUUGGCAGAGCACCUUUAGCCCCACGCACCAUAUUAGGAAUUGGUUUUCACAACUCUUUGGGGUUGAUAGUGGGUCCAAGUUUGUGAAAAGUUGAUAAAGGAUGGGUCAGGCUAGGUUAUCUCUUUAAAAGAUUCGGCCGUCGGAAGAGCUACGAUAAAUUCCACCAAGAAUUCUUCAUUUCAAGAGCUAAUUGGGAAAGGCUCAGGGCUAUUGUAUUCAUGGUAGCAUUUUCUAGGAAUCAUGAUCUUCCAAAAUAGGAGCUUGCGUCAACAUCAACCUCUUGCCUAUGGUCAUUUACAUGUUUAGAGGCCUGCCAGAGUAACCAUUGUAUCUAUGAUUUUGCCAAAAAUACUUUGAUCAUUGUCCCUCUUCUCUAGAGGACACGACCACUUCAAGAGAUGUAACCUAUUGCUACAAAUUUGUAUAUUCAAUAACUUCUAUUAAAGGCAAAAAGACAAUGAUGCUUAAGGAAAUCUGCACAACAAGAUUAGGAGUCAUGCGGAAAGGUUGAGCAUAUGGGGUUCCCCAAACAAUGAAGAAGGGUGGCGCUUUUUCCUGACCCACCUCACAGGGGAUCGUAUUCAGUGGAGAUUACCAUUAGUCCGUGGCCGAGUUUGUUGAGAACCAACCACAACUACUUCAUAGGGCUAAUUGGGUUGGAAGGCUUCCAGCCUUACGUACCUUUGAGAGUCCUCAGACAGUUUGGGAUAACCCAAGGCAUUUCUCUGUGGUUAAACAUAGCGCUAAUGGAGGUCGAUUAUGAGGGAAGAGUCCCAAUUGAAAGGAUCACUACAUUGAUACGAGAGUAGCAUGAUAUAUUUUACCUAGGCAUGGGGGUUGAGUUAUGCUGCACCCUUGAGUAUUAUGCUUGGUUUACAAUAGGAGGAAUUCUCGCAAGGCCUAGCUAUGCCGGAAUCUUAGACUUCACGGAUGAGCGAAGAUCAGAUAAGAUUAGAACGGCGUUAUUAAACCCCACGCCUAUCACCACAACUAUGUACAGGCAAACGAUGAUGAACCAGAGGAGGAUAUGAAAGAAGAUUCAAAAGAGGAUCCUAGGGAGCUGACUAAGGAAGAUCCGAAAGAGGAUCCCGAAGAAGAUGCUCACUCUGAGUAUGGUCCAUAGGGUUUGAUGAAGGAUAAGGUUCAAACCACCAGGGACUAUAGAGUGACGGAUCCCCAGAGUACCAGCCAGGAUCUUACUAUGAUUUGGGAAAUAAGGAUGAUGAUUACCCAACUUGGCCGUAGACUAUCUUUAUUUUCCUUUGUAUUUCCCCUAGAAAAGGUCUUGCAUGGCUUGUAUUGAUGUUCCAAUAUGCUGUUAGGGUGGUCGAUUAAGGAUUUACACUAAAUAUAUUAAAAUAUUAGCUCUAUCUUGAAUCUGGAAUGUGUUAAAAUUUUGGAUCGAUUAAUCAUUAAUAUUUGCAGUGUAAGCCUACCUCUGGGAAAAAGAGGCUCUGUAUUAGGACGCAUUUAAAUGUCACCAACUUGGCGUUAAUAUGUGUUAUAUAUUUGUUGUACCUUUCAAUAUCUCCCAAAAUAACAUAGUUUCCCUUUUUAUUUCUUUUCUUUUAUUAAUUUCCCAAGAACAUUGAUUUGUGUCAACUUGCAAAUUGGUUGACUCACGGUACAACCUUUGAUCAAAGGGAAAGAUGAUAGGUGGAUAAGAAUUUAAUGAUGCUGCAAACAUAAUGAUACUAGUAGAGAAUCUUAAAGGCUCUCAAAAUAUGGCCGACACUCGAAAUGAUGAGAAAAGGGAUCACAUGCCACAAGAACUUGAGAUCAUGAGGGAGGAAUUGCGUCAAGUGCAAGACUUGGCCAAACUUUUGGCUACUACCUUCCCAACUUUCAAGAUGCCCACCUACUUUCCAAGAGCUAACUUGCCUUCUGCUAAUUCACCAAAUUUGCCUAAACAUGCUCCUGCUCAUGGUCAAGCCCCACUAGCUCAUCCAUCUACAAUCAGGACUGUUCUUGACCUUCCUACUCAAGACCCCACCACACCUACAUACCUAGCAAUACGACAGAUAUUUGGGGAAUAUAUUGCCGCUCCUCACGGUCUACAAAUGCCUCCUAUAUAUGCCUAUUGGGUCAAGGUCUCGUAUGAGGUUGACCAAUAUGCAAAGAUGGAGAAGGAUGCCCGAUUGAAGGAAGAUGAGUAGAUAGACGCCCAACUUUGCGGUCUAAGAAAGACGUUUCAAAAAUAGCAAGUCACUAGGGGAUCAAAGAGCCUAGUUUAGGAUGACUUAUGCAUCUACCCAGACAUUGAAAUGCCAGUAGGAUACAAGCCACUAAAGUUUGACAUAUUCGAUGGAAAGGGCAGCCCUUACACACAUCUGAGGGCAUACUGUGACAAGUUAGUUGGUGUAGGGAGAAAUGAGAAGCUAAGAAUGAAGUUGUUCAUUCGAAGUCUGUCUGGAGAAACGUUGACUUGGUAUACACACCAAGAUCCUCAUAAAUGGCAUAACUGGCAGGAAAUGGCUGAGGAUUUCAUGAAUUGCUUUAGAUUUAAUACCAAAAUCACUACGAACAGGUUCUCAUUAGCCAACAUACAAAAGAAACCAUCUGAGGACUUCCAGGAGUAUGUACGACAUUGGAGAAUUGAGGCUGCCAGGGUUCAACCACCACUGGAUGAGACUGAGCUCUCAAAGAACUUUAUUCGAGCUCAAGAAGGUAUCUACUUUGACAAGAUGAAGUCGAUGAUGGGCCAAAAGUUUGUGGAAUUGGUCAAGAUAGGGGAUUUUAUAGAUGAGGGCAUCAAAUCCGGUAAAAUUCAGUCCAUGGCUAUACUGCAAGCUGCAAGUGAUGCCAUUCAAUUAGGCUCCAUUGGUAGCAUCAAGAAGAAAAAGGAAGAUGUUUCACCCAUCACUUACCAGCAUGGAGGACCAUCUCACCGAUACCCCAAUAAUCCCCAAAUUAUUGCACAUACUCCAUACACCUUGUACCCAGUAUAUAAUACCCAACUACACUACAAUCCACCCUGAGCACCAGCAUACCAAAAUCUACCAAGACCACAUGUCUUAGUCCAAGAACCAAUCCACAAAAUAGACCAGCAUUUGCUUCGAGACCACAUCCAAAUCUCAAAGACAAAAAUACUCGCACCUAUACAUCCAUUACCAAACCUUAUGCCUAAUUAUUUGAAAGGCUGAGGAUAUUAGGAGUGCUACAUCCAGUUGAAGAAAAACUCUCUGAUCUAAUCCCUCACAACUUUGAUGGAAACAAGCGAUACGCUUACCAAUCAAGAAUCCAAGAAUAUAACAUAGAAAAUAGUUAUGGCUUGAAGAACCAGGUAGAGUCUCUGAUCAGAAGAGGAAUAAUAAAAUACACUCCAACACCUUCGAAUAUAAACAACAACCCUUUGCUAAAUCAUGAGAAUCGAUAAGUCAACAUGAUUACCCUAGAAGAAGAGUACAACUUGGGAGAAACCAUCAUGCCUCUCUGGAAUAUCGAAGAAGUUGCCACUGCGUCUCUAACACAACCUGUUAUCACUGUCCAACUGAGGGAACCUCUUACUGUGCAAACAUAUCUCCCAAGAGUUGUAGUGACCACUAUGAUUGCUAGAAAGCCUGAGUUUGACACCAAAAAAUCCUAUGGGACUAUAAAACAGAAGCCAAGGGCAAGAUGAUUGACGCUGUUGUGGCUCAUGGAAUGACUAAGUCGGGAAGGUGCUAUGCUCUAGAGGAUCAGAAUCAAGGAGUUCUUGGGAAGGAACAUAAUCAUAAGAGAAAUGUUACUGAUACUGAAGUCACUGAAUUUUGGAAGAAAAUGCAGCCGAAAGAAUAUUCAGUCAAAGAGCAACGGAAGAAGAUGCUGGCCCACAUAUCUAUAAUGUCUUUACUAAUGAGUUUAGAGGCACAUAGGAAUGCUUUGAUGGAAGUGUUAAAUGGAGUUUUCAUUCCAAAAGAGACCACAAGUGAAACCUUAACUACAAUGAUUGGACUAAUGGUGAAAGCUAACAAAAUCUCUUUCCAUGAUGAUGAGCUACCGAUGGAAGGGAUUGGACACAACAAAGCACUUCAUAUCACGGUCAAAUGUAAUGACAAGAUUGUGACCCAAGUUCAAAUUAAUGAUGGUUUUGGAAGCAACAUCUACCUUUUUAUAAAUCUGAGAGUUUUAGGCUUGAAUAUGGGAGAUGUAGAGGAAAGUCAUGUAAAAGUUAAAGCUUUUGAUGGAGCGCAGAGAAGCAUCAUUGGAGAAAUCUAUUUCACAUUGCAAGUGGGGCCAGCAGAAUUCCCCAUCCUAUUUCAAGUGAUGGAUGUGUCAUCCAACUACAACCUGUUACUGGGAAGACCAUGGGUCCACACCGUAAAAAUAGUUUCUUCGACUCUUUAUCAGUGUGUAAAGUUUGAGUGAAGUCACACAGAAGUUAACAUUCAUUGGGAGCACACUCACCCCAUCUAUUCUAUCAAUUCUAUUCUAGUCACUAAGGAGGUAGAUGGAGCCACUUUUCACACUUUAGAAAUCAUGAAAGUUGUAAGAGAUGACAUAAAAGUAGAGUCGAUUGAUGUGAAAUUGUCAGUAGCAGCAAAGAUGGUCACGACCGAGAUGUUGAAAUAUGGGUAUCAGCCUAAGACAAGGCUUGGACCCAGGUCCAAUGGCAUAGUUAAACCAAUCCAGCUGAAGCAUCAGAAAGGUACCAUCGGAAUCGAAUAUGAACCUACAUUGGGAGGAGUCCAAAAUGCAAGAUCCAGCAAGACAACAUUUGUACCAUAACAAGCUCCAAUUCUAGAUCACGCAUCUGACUAUGACAUAGUAGAAAGAAUAAGAACUUUGUUCGUGGCCAUGAUUGGAGAAGAGAAAGAUAUAGAUCUCAACAAAUUGACCAUCCGUGAUUCCAAGCCUAGAGAAAGCUUCCAGAAUUGGACCAUCAGUCCGUCCCUGCUUCAAAAAGAGUCCUGAUAGUGUGGAAAGUAGUUUUGUCUUUUUAAGUUUGCAUGAUCAAAGUUGAGGCUUGAAUCAUGCUUGAUCCCUUGUUGUCGCCUGCUCUUUCUAAAAAAGCUAGAACGAUUUUAAAUAAAAGUCUUUAGUUUCUUUAAAAUUGUCUUAUUAUUUUACCUAUGUAUUUAUUUUACUUACCUUUUAUACUUUUCAGCACUCAUAUUAAUAAAAAUCCUAGUUCAAUGACAUGUAACUAAUCCAUCGAGCAAAGUAAAAAUAAUGAACAAGAUUAUGAAGAAUAUGAUGAAAGCAUGAUGCCUGAAAACCUACCAUAGGAGAUCGAGCAACUCGUAAGUCAGAAGAAACCUAUGGAUAAAACAGAGGUUGUCAACUUAGGAGAUGAGGAAAUUGUGAAGGAAACAUGAAUUAGCAUACAUUCGGAGGCUGAAAGAAAAAAGGAGUUAAUAGAAUUACUUAGGCAGCAUGUCAACAUAUUUGCUUGGUCUUACAAUGAUAUGCCGGGGUUAAGCAAUGAUAUCGUCUCACACAAAUUACCUAUUGAUCCGACUUUCCUACAUGUUAAACAAAAGACAAGAAAGUUCAAGCCAGACUUGAGUCUAAGGAUCAAAAAAGAGGUAAUCAAGCAGAUUGGGGCGAUCGUAGUAAGGGUUAUAAAUUACCCCACUUGGUUGGCCAACAUAGUAUCAGUGCCAAAAAAGGAUGGAAAAAUCAGAAUAUAUGUGGACUAUCGAGAUAUCAACAGAGCUAGUCCUAAGGAUGAUUUCCCUCUCCCAAAUAUUUAUAUACUUAUCGAUAGUUGUACAAAAUAUUAGUUGCAAUCAUUUGUCGAUUGUUUUGAGGGAUAUCACUAGAUACUGAUGGAUGAAAAUGAUGUAGAAACAACAAUAUUUAUCACUUCAUGGGGAGUGUAUUGCUAUAGAGUAAUGCCAUUUGGUCUAAAAAAUACUAUGCAACCUACAUGAGGGCCAUGACUGCUCUUUUUCAUUAUAUGAUCCACAAGGAGAUUAAAGUAUAUGUGGACGAUGUCUUUAUCAAAUACAAGAGGAGUUUGGACCAUCUAGAUGAUUUGCGAAAAUUCUUUGAAAGGUUACGAUAGUAUAAUCUAAAAUUGAAUCCAGCAAAGUGUGCAUUUGGAGUAUCUGUGGGAAAACCGUUAAGAUUCAUUAUUAGUAGGAGAGACAUAAAGUUGGAUCCCUCAAAGAUAAAGGCACUUCAAGAAUUACCUCCCCCAAGACCAAGAAAGACGUGAUGAGUUUCUUGGGAAGACUUAACUACAUUAGUUGGUUCAUAUCCACAGUAAUUUUUGAACCCAUAUUUAAAUUACUAAGAAAAGAUGCUGCCGUAAAAUAGACAGAGGAAUGUCAACAGGCUUUUGAUAAAAUCAAAGAAUACUUGUCCAAUCCACUAGUAUUGGUCCUACCUGAGCCUGGGAGGCCGUUGCUACUGUAUUUAUCUAUCAUGGAUAAUGUAUUUGGACGUAUAUUGGGACAACAUGAUGAGAUGGGUAGAAGAGAGAAAUCCAUUUACUAGUUGAGUAAGAAGUUCACACCAUGUGAGGCGAGAUAUACCUUGUUGGAAUGAACAUGUUGUGCUUUGACUUGGAUCGAGGAGAAAUUUAGGCAUUACCUAUCUGCAUACACCACGUACUUGAUCUCAAGAAUGGAUCCACUCAAGUACAUCUUUCAGAAGCCAAUGCCUAUAGGUAAAUUGGCAAAGUGGCAAAUUUUGUUGAGCAAGUUUGACAUUGUGUAUGUGACACAUAAAGCUAUCAAAGGACAAGCCUUGGCUGACCACCUCGUAGGAAAAGAGGUGUUGUUUGUAGGAGAAGACAUAUCAGAGCCAUAUGAUGGUUGGAGGAUGUUUUUUGAUGGAGCAUCAAAUUCAAAAGGAGUCGGAAUAGAAGCAGUCUUAAUUUUAGAAACAGAUCAAUAUUAUCCAAUCUCAGCCAAGAUUAGGUUUGAUUCUACAUAUAACAUGGAAGAGUAUGAGGGUUGUAUUCUUAGUCUUAGAUGGCCAUCGACAUGAACGUCAAAGAGCUUUUGGUCAUAGGCGAUUCUAACUUAUUGGUUCAUCAGGUGUAAGGAGAAUGGGUUGUUAAAAAUGUCAAGAUCCUUCCUUAUUUGCAUUGCAUAAAGGAGUUGAGUAGGAGAUUCACAAGUAUUGAAUUCAAAUAUGUCCCUUGAGCUUAAAAUCAAUUUGCCAAUGCUUUGGCAACAUUAUACUUCGUGAUUUAGCAUCCGAACAAGGAUUACAUCGACCCUAUUGAAGUAGAGUUACAUGAUCAACAUGCAAAUUAUUUUUAUGUUGAUGAGAAAUUAGAUGGAAGACCAUGGUACUACAACAUCAAGAGAUUGAUAGAAAUAUGAGAAUACCCCAAAAAUGCCACAAGCAAGCAAAAACGGAAUUUAAGAAGAAUGGCCAGUCAUUUCUUUCUUAAUGGAGAAAUCCUAUAUAAGAGGACUCCAUAUUUAGGAUUGAUGAGAUAUGUUGACACCAAGGAAGCGACGAGGCUUUUAGAAGAAAUACAUGCAGGAACAUAUGGACCUCACAUGAAUGGGUUCACUCUGGCUAAGAAGAUCUUAAGAGCCGGAUAUUUUUGGAAGACCAUGGAGAGAGAUAACAUUCAAUACGUGCAGAAGUGUCAUCAAUGCCAAAUGCAUAGAGAUUUUAUAUGAUUUCCACCAAAUAAGCUCAAUGUUAUGGGUUCCCCUUGGAAAUUUAACGCUUGGGGAAUGGAUGUAAUUGGACCCAUAGAGCCUCCCGCAUCAAAUGGACAUCGUUUCAUCCUUGUGGCUAUCGAUUAUUUCACAAAAUGGGUCGAAGCUUUGACAUACAAGGCAGUAACUAAGAAGGUAGUGACAGACUUUGUUUGUAAUAAUAUAGUUAAUUUGGGAUUCCAAAAUUAAUCAUAACAGAUAAUGCGGCCAAUCUCAACAACGAUCUUAUAAAGAAAAUUUAUAAGAAAUUUAAGAUUGAUCAUCGAAAUUCCACAACUUAUCGACCACAAAUAAAUUGAGCAAUUGAAGCUACAAACAAGAAUAUCAAGAAGAUUUUAAGGAAGAUAGUGGAUAGUCACAGACAAUGGCACGAGAAGCUACCAUAGGCUCUGCUCGAUUAUCGCACGACAAUCAAAACAUCCACUGGGGAAACUCCUUAUAUGUUGGUUUAUGGUUCAGAAGCAGUAAUACCUGCAGAAGUGGAAAUACCAUCUCUAAGGAUUAUUCAAGAGGUCGGUUUAGAUGAUGUAGAAUGGAUUCACAACAGGAUUGAACAGUUGAUGCUUAUUGAUGAAAAAAGAAUGGCCGUAGUUUGUCAUGGUCAACUCUAUCAGAACAGAAUGGCCAAAUCAUUUAACAACAAAGUCAAACCUUGACAGUUCACAUCGAGAUAAUCUGUAUUGAAAAAGAUAUUUCCUCACCAAGGAGAAGCUAAAGGGAAAUUUACACCAAACUGGCAAGGUCCUUACAUGGUUCAUAGAGUACUCUCUGGAGGAGCAAUUAUCUUAGCCGAAAUGGACGUCACAGUGAGCACGAAGCCAAUCAAUUCAGACGCCAUCAAGAAGUACUACAUCUGAAGACAUCAAGACUAGUUUUAAUUUAUUUUUGUACUUUUACAUUCCAUGUAACAGAACAACAUCUCGACCUGACUUCCCACAGUGGGGUACGUAGGCAACCCACAUCGGUUCUGAUCCUUUCUUAGAAAAUCUGAAAACAUCAUUUUUAUGUAUUCAGAAUUAUGCUCGACUUGACUUCCCUCGGCAGAAUAUGUAGGCAAUCCCUGUCGGAUUUGGUCCCUUCAUAUUUUCAAUUUUCUAUUGUAUUUGAACUAUAUCCUGACCUAAUUGCGGUUGGAUACGUAGGCAGCCUAAGUCAGGCCUGGUCAUUGCAUUAUUUUACUUUCCUAUUGUAUUUGAACUACUCCUGACCUGAUUCCACUUGGAUAUGUUGGCAACCUGAGUUAGGCUUGGUCAUUACAUCACAUAUUUUUUAUUCUUAUAUUUCCCCCUUUGUAAUUUAACUACGUACUGACCUGAUUCCACUUGGAUACGUAGGCAACCUGAUUCAGGCUCGGUCAUUGCAUUGUAUAAUAUUCACUUUUUAUCCUCGAACUAUGCACAGACCUGAUUCCCAUUUGGGGAUACAUAGGCAACCUUAAAGGUUCGAUCAUACCUAUAGAAAACUUUCCUUUAGUUAGGUAUCAUUAAAACAUAAAGGAUCUCGUGAACGAGUCAAGGGAAGCAUCAUCAAAAGACAAGACUAUGAGAGAUAUUAUAUUUGGAUAUAGAGAAGCUUGAUGGACUUCAAAACAUGUCAGAACCUUAUAAUGAUAAAGGAUUACUCUCUCUCUCAUAUAUAUAUAAUAUGCUCCUUUACUAAAAAUACUAUUAUUUUCAAAAUAGUUCUCUACUAUUCCACCUAUCAAGUCUCCAGGUUAAGAAACUGCGUACGGGCCAAGAAGGUGCUGAAGGAUUCUAGUGACAAGGACUGAAUCCACGAGUCGAUAUAAAUCAAAACCCCCCCUUAAACUAAAUUAUUUUUCUUUGAGCUCAGGAAAAUAGGAGAUCAAGGAAGACAACCUCAAGUGUAGGGGCAUGACUGAAGACGUCGUUCGACUUCUCAAAAUCAUAAACCAAAAUAUCCUUUCUUUAUCUUAUUUAUCGGAAGUACUUUAUACUUGGAUUUGUUUUCUAAAAGAUUUCCUUCAAUAUUUGCAGGUACGCUCAAGAUUCGGAUCAAAUACUAAAGACAAAGUGGACCUAUGGGAUAAAUAGGAUAAUUUGCUUUUUGUCAAAGAUAACUUCACAACUCCACCAUCGGAGACCACCGUCUAACUGCAUUGAAUAAACUCCAUCAAAUGGAAGUUGUAUAUAGAAAGAAAUGUCAAACUUCGCCAAUCGGAGGCUAUAUAUAGAAAACAUCGUUCAGGCUCUACCAUGUGGAGGCUGUACAUAGCAAACAUCGUUCAAACUCCACCGUCUGGAGGCUCUAAAUAGCAAAUAUCAUUCAAACUUCGCCGUCUAGAGGCUGUACAUAGAAAACAUUAUUCAAACUCCACCGUCUGGAGGUUGUACAUAGAAAACACUGUUCAAACUCCACCGUCUGGAGGCUGUACAUAGCAAAUGCCAUUCAAACUCCGCCAUUUGGAGGCUGUAUAUAUCAAACCUCAUCAAAGCUCCCCCGAUCAGGAGCAUGCAUACAACAUCAUCAUAUAUCUAUGAUUAAAUUCUACAUUACAAGAUUUGUCUCGCCAGAUGCAGGCGUUACAUUAAAAUUAAACCGUCAGAUACAGGCGUUACAUUAUAAGCUUUAUACUGCUGGAUACAUGCAUUACAUUAUAGUUACACCGCCAGAUACAAGCAUUACUUUAUAGGUUUUUCACUGCCGGAUGUAGGCGUUACAUUACAAUUGCACCACCAGAUACAUGAGUUACAUUUACAAGCUCUACACUAUCGGAUACAUGCGUUACAUUACAAGGUGUACACUGCCGGAUACAGGCAUUAUAUUUACAAGCUUUACACGGCUAGAUACAAGCGUUACAUUAUAUUUGCUCAGCCAGUCAGAGGCAUUAAAUUACAAGCUUUACACCGCCAGAUAUAGGCGUUACAUUAUAAGUUUUACACUAUCAGAUACCGGCGUUACAUUAUAAUUGCCCUGCCAAUCGGAGGUUUUACAUUAUAAGUUACUUUGCCUACAUCGCAUUCAUCCCACAAAAUAGAGACAUCAACAAUCAUUUGAACAUCUACACUUUACU